AUCAAAUCACGGGAAGACCAAACUUCUUGGCAUUGAUUUGGUUGGAUUCUCAAGAGAGUAAUUGAAUUUGUUAAAAGUGGCCCUUUCGGCGCAGCGACGCGUGUCUCAUAACAUCGGAUAUAUCUCUCUCUUCAUCGAGGAAGCAGGAGCACUUGUUGCUCCAUUUAUUACAUCCAUGAUCCACGAUGCAGCCAUGUUAUCCAUAAAGUCUGGGAUAUGAAGUGAUGAGCGACCUGCCAUGUCAUCAAAACUCACGUGACCAACAUGUCCACGUCCCGACCAAACAAAUUAGCUACCUUCCGGUGAUAUCAGUAGUCCCAUCUCCCAUGGCUGCGUCUCUCAGGGUCGGAAUAAAUGAAAUAUAGUAGCGGUCUGGCGCUCUGCCAUGGAGUUGCUGUUAAAUGCUCCGCUAUCUAAGCUUCCUCCUUUGCCUAAAAUCUGUGCGACGAAGCGCAAGCCCCUUGGUGCUCGGCUUCCCUCUUGCUUGGGGGUGGAAAGACAUGAUGACAUGGAUGUCCAUAAGGAUCUUCCGCAGUCUAUGGAUCAUGAACCAAAAGAGAAGCAGAAUGAUAUAUGGCAACUCUUCACAGAAGCACAACAGAAUAUAUUGUAUUUGAAUAAACAACGACUCACGGCAUUGGAAGAACUGGAUGAACUGAAGAGGGAAAACACGGCACUGCUUGAUAGGAUAGAGCAAUUGGAGGCCAAAAUGCUGUUGAACACCGAAAAAGAAAUGGAUACACUUUCUAUUAGCUCUGAGUUGCUGCUUAGGAUUGAUUCAAUGGUUCUAAGUGGAAUGAUUGAUAAUGCGGAGGCUUCUGACUUGAGAAGGCUGGUCAUGAAUUCAAGAAUGAGUAUAGCAGCUAAUUUGUUUCAAAACACGCACAAGAAAGAUUCUGAACUUCUGGUGGAAUUGCGCCAUUUUUCCAGCAAAAGUAAAAAGAAGGGUUUCCACAUAGUUCACAUUUCUGCUGAAAUGGCACCAGUGGUCUCUGUGGGAUCUUUGGCAUCUUAUGUUACAGGACUAUCCUGUGCUCUGCAGAGAAAGGGACAUGUGGUCGAGGUCAUUUUGCCCAAGUAUGCAUGCCUAAAUUUAGACGAAGUUCAAGGUCUUCGAGAAGUUGAAGCAGAAGUCUAUUCAUUUUUUAAUGGUCAAUUGCAUAAAAACAGAAUCUGGACUGGGGUUGUCUUUGGCAUUGGAGUUACAUUUAUACAACCAGUCUACUAUUCAGCAUUUUUCAGUCAUGAGAGAGUAUAUGGAUAUGGAAAUGACUUUGAAAGAUUCACCUAUUUUUCUCGUGCAUCGCUGGAUUAUCUAGUGAAAUCAGGAAAGAAGCCCGAUAUUGUUCACAUACACAAUUGGGAAACAUCAAUUGUUGGGCCCCUAUUUUGGGACGUUUUUGUCAAUCAGGGACUCGAAGGUACUAGAAUAUUAUUGACGUGCCAGGGCUUUGAUUCACAGUGUCUUCAACGACCUGAGAAGCUUGCUCUGUGUGGACUUGAUCCUUCAAGACUACAUCGUCCUGAUCGCCUUCAAGAUAAUAACAAGACUCAUAUGGUCAACAUUUUGAAGGGUGGAGUUGUUUACUCCAAUAAAGUGAUAGUGAUUGCAUCCAUGCAAACAAAGGCCCAUCUCAUCACUGAAUUGGGUCAUGGAAUGGAACCCACCUUAGCCAUUCACAAGGACAAGCUGCUGAUUGCUCCUUAUGGAUUUGACAAGUCAGUUUGGGAUCCUUCAGUGGACAAAUUUCUUCCAGAAAGUUACAGUGAAGAAGAUAUGAAAGGGAAAUCUGUAUGCAAAAUUUCAUUGCAGAAGCACCUUGGGUUAACAAAGAAUGCUUCCAUGAUUCUUGUUGGUUGCAUGUUAACAGAAGUUUCAGAUGUUUACCUGGAGAACCUCAAGACUCUUGUUUGGAUGGCUUCCAGAAAGGGAAUUCAGCCAAAAUCCAGACUUAAGAAGAGAAGUGGAAUCUUUGCUGUUAGAACUCAAGGAUGGAAAUGUGAAGUUUAUUGAUAAAUAUGACGAACCUUUACUGCAUUUGAUAUUAGCUGGAUGCGACAUUAUUUUGUGCCCAUCUUUCGACGAUCCAGAGCUUCAAGUACCGCUGAAGGCCAUAAAAUAUGGAGCUGGACUUGUUGCAUUAAAUUUUACUGAUGACAAAUUCGGGAAUUUUGCGGAUCAUGAUUUUGGGCGUCCAGAAGUUUCAAAGUACAUCAGAAAUUCCUUUGGAAAUAUGUCAUUAAGCCAAGCAAUCAAUGAAAUCGAGGAGGAUCCAUCUCAGUGGAACAGAAAGAUCACAGAUGCCAUGGCAAAGGAUUUCUCGUGGGAUGCAGAGUGUUGUGAUAUUCAUGUUUCGGCAUAUGCAGCAAUAAAGAAUCUAUGAAGUAAUAGGUCGUUUCUUGACGAACUGUACAUACGCAAGUCCAUGGAGACAUCGAAGGAGGCUUUCUGUUUUUGUGCAUAUAAACUUUCACGGGCAUGUUGGCAAUUUGUGCUCAUAAACUAAACACUCCUGUCCGUCUCAUUGUUUAUUUUUCAGAUGAUUGCCGCUCCUUAAUUAUUCUGAGAUGUCCGAAAUUUCUCUUUUAUCAGAUGUCCCAAAGAGUGGAAUCUUCCUCUC